rnacentral:rRNA from 1 species
UACAGAGGUGGCAAGCGUUGUUCGGAAUUACUGGGCGUAAAGGGCGCGUAGGCGGCCUUCUAAGUCAGACGUGAAAUCCCCCGGCUUAACCUGGGAACUGCGUCUGAUACUGCGGCGCUUGAGUGCCGGAGGGGGUGGCGGAAUUCCCGGUGUAGAGGUGAAAUUCGUAGAUAUCGGGAGGAACACCUGUGGCGAAGGCGGCCACCUGGACGGUAACUGACGCUGAGACGCGAAAGCGUGGGUAGCAAACAGG